rnacentral:rRNA from 1 species
GGGUUGUGAGGUUAAGCGACUAAGCGUACACGGUGGAUGCCCUGGCAGUCAGAGGCGAUGAAGGGCGUGCUAAUCUGCGAUAAGCGCCGGUAAGGUGAUAUGAACCGUUAUAACCGGCGAUACCCGAAUGGGGAAACCCAGUGUGACUCGUCACACUAUCAUUAACUGAAUCCAUAGGUUAAUGAGGCGAACCGGGGGAACUGAAACAUCUAAGUACCCCGAGGAAAAGAAAUCAACCGAGAUUCCCCCAGUAGCGGCGAGCGAACGGGGAGGAGCCCAGAGCCUGAAUCAGCAUGUGUGUUAGUGGAAGCGUCUGGAAAGGCGCGCGAUACAGGGUGACAGCCCCGUACACAAAAGCGCAUGUGCUGUGAGCUCGAUGAGUAGGGCGGGACACGUGGUAUCCUGUCUGAAUAUGGGGGGACCAUCCUCCAAGGCUAAAUACUCCUGACUGACCGAUAGUGAACCAGUACCGUGAGGGAAAGGCGAAAAGAACCCCGGCGAGGGGAGUGAAAAAGAACCUGAAACCGUGUACGUACAAGCAGUGGGAGCCCCACCACCAAAGCAUUUGCUGUACCGCGUUGACGGAGCGAAGCGACGUCAAACCGAUAAAACAGCAGUGUAAAGUGAGCCGCAGGGCGCUUUGCGCGACAGCGCAAAGGCAGGCGGUUUCGCGUAGCGAAAGCGAAUGCUUUGGGGUGGGGUGACUGCGUACCUUUUGUAUAAUGGGUCAGCGACUUAUAUUCUGUAGCAAGGUUAACCGAAUAGGGGAGCCGGAGGGAAACCGAGUCUUAAUUGGGCGUUAAGUUGCAGGGUAUAGACCCGAAACCCGGUGAUCUAGCCAUGGGCAGGUUGAAGGUUGGGUAACACUAACUGGAGGACCGAACCGACUAAUGUUGAAAAAUUAGCGGAUGACCUGUGGCUGGGGGUGAAAGGCCAAUCAAACCGGGAGAUAGCUGGUUCUCCCCGAAAGCUAUUUAGGUAGCGCCUCGUGAAUUCAUCUCCGGGGGUAGAGCACUGUUUCGGCUAGGGGGCCAUCCCGGCUUACCAACCCGAUGCAAACUGCGAAUACCGGAGAAUGUUAUCACGGGAGACACACGGCGGGUGCUAACGUCCGUCGUGAAGAGGGAAACAACCCAGACCGCCAGCUAAGGUCCCAAAGUCAUGGUUAAGUGGGAAACGAUGUGGGAAGGCCCAGACAGCCAGGAUGUUGGCUUAGAAGCAGCCAUCAUUUAAAGAAAGCGUAAUAGCUCACUGGUCGAGUCGGCCUGCGCGGAAGAUGUAACGGGGCUAAACCAUGCACCGAAGCUGCGGCAGCGACACUGUGUGUUGUUGGGUAGGGGAGCGUUCUGUAAGCCUGUGAAGGUGUGUCGUGAGGCAUGCUGGAGGUAUCAGAAGUGCGAAUGCUGACAUAAGUAACGAUAAAGCGGGUGAAAAGCCCGCUCGCCGGAAGACCAAGGGUUCCUGUCCAACGUUAAUCGGGGCAGGGUGAGUCGACCCCUAAGGCGAGGCCGAAAGGCGUAGUCGAUGGGAAACGGGUUAAUAUUCCCGUACUUGGUGUUACUGCGAAGGGGGACGGAGAAGGCUAUGUUGGCCGGGCGACGGUUGUCCCGGUUUAAGCGUGUAGGUGUGUGUUCCAGGUAAAUCCGGUUCACUUUAACACUGAGGCGUGACGACGAGGCACUACGGUGCUGAAGCAACAAAUGCCCUGCUUCCAGGAAAAGCCUCUAAGCAUCAGGUAACAUCAAAUCGUACCCCCAAACCGACACAGGUGGUCAGGUAGAGAAUACCAAGGCGCUUGAGAGAACUCGGGUGAAGGAACUAGGCAAAAUGGUGCCGUAACUUCGGGAGAAGGCACGCUGACACGUAGGUGAAGUGAUUUACUCAUGGAGCUGAAGUCAGUCGAAGAUACCAGCUGGCUGCAACUGUUUAUUAAAAACACAGCACUGUGCAAACACGAAAGUGGACGUAUACGGUGUGACGCCUGCCCGGUGCCGGAAGGUUAAUUGAUGGGGUCAGCGCAAGCGAAGCUCCUGAUCGAAGCCCCGGUAAACGGCGGCCGUAACUAUAACGGUCCUAAGGUAGCGAAAUUCCUUGUCGGGUAAGUUCCGACCUGCACGAAUGGCGUAAUGAUGGCCAGGCUGUCUCCACCCGAGACUCAGUGAAAUUGAACUCGCUGUGAAGAUGCAGUGUACCCGCGGCAAGACGGAAAGACCCCGUGAACCUUUACUAUAGCUUGACACUGAACAUUGAGCCUUGAUGUGUAGGAUAGGUGGGAGGCUUUGAAGUGUGGACGCCAGUCUGCAUGGAGCCGACCUUGAAAUACCACCCUUUAAUGUUUGAUGUUCUAACGUGGACCCGUUACCCGGGUUGCGGACAGUGUCUGGUGGGUAGUUUGACUGGGGCGGUCUCCUCCUAAAGAGUAACGGAGGAGCACGAAGGUUGGCUAAUCCUGGUCGGACAUCAGGAGGUUAGUGCAAUGGCAUAAGCCAGCUUGACUGCGAGCGUGACGGCGCGAGCAGGUGCGAAAGCAGGUCAUAGUGAUCCGGUGGUUCUGAAUGGAAGGGCCAUCGCUCAACGGAUAAAAGGUACUCCGGGGAUAACAGGCUGAUACCGCCCAAGAGUUCAUAUCGACGGCGGUGUUUGGCACCUCGAUGUCGGCUCAUCACAUCCUGGGGCUGAAGUAGGUCCCAAGGGUAUGGCUGUUCGCCAUUUAAAGUGGUACGCGAGCUGGGUUUAGAACGUCGUGAGACAGUUCGGUCCCUAUCUGCCGUGGGCGCUGGAGAACUGAGGGGGGCUGCUCCUAGUACGAGAGGACCGGAGUGGACGCAUCACUGGUGUUCGGGUUGUCAUGCCAAUGGCACUGCCCGGUAGCUAAAUGCGGAAGAGAUAAGUGCUGAAAGCAUCUAAGCACGAAACUUGCCCCGAGAUGAGUUCUCCCUGAGACUUAGAGUCUCCUGAAGGAACGUUGAAGACGACGACGUUGAUAGGCCGGGUGUGUAAGCGCAGCGAUGCGUUGAGCUAACCGGUACUAAUGAACCGUGAGGCUUAACCUUACAACGCCGAAG